rnacentral:tRNA from 4 species
GGACCCAUGGUGAAGUGGAUAUCACGUAGGCCUCCGAAGCCUGAAGCGCAAGUUCGAUUCUUGCUGGGUCCGCCA